UACGAGGGGGGCGAGCGUUUGUUCGGAAUUAUUGGGCGUAAAGGGUGCGUAGGCGGUUUGGUAAGUCUUAUGUGAAAUCUACAGGCUCAACUUGUAGUCUGCAUGAGAAACUGCCGGGCUUGAGUAUGGGAGAGGUGAGUGGAAUUCCUGGUGUAGCGGUGAAAUGCGUAGAUAUCAGGAGGAACACCUGUGGCGAAAGCGGCUCACUGGACCAUAACUGACGCUGAUGCACGAAAGCUAGGGGAGCAAACAGG
rnacentral:rRNA from 1 species